rnacentral:rRNA from 1 species
UGGGGAAUAUUGGGCAAUGGGCGCAAGCCUGACCCAGCAACGCCGCGUGAGGGAAGAAGGUCUUCGGAUUGUAAACCUCUGUCCUUGGGGACGAAAAAAACUGACGGUACCCAAGGAGGAAGCUCCGGCUAACUACGUGCCAGCAGCCGCGGUAAUACGUAGGGAGCGAGCGUUGUCCGGAAUUACUGGGCGUAAAGGGUGCGUAGGCGGCUUGGCAAGUCAGAUGUGAAAUCCCCGGGCUUAACUCGGGAGUUGCAUUUGAAACUGCUAGGCUUGAGUGCAGGAGAGGAAAGCGGAAUUCCUAGUGUAGCGGUGAAAUGCGUAGAUAUUAGGAGGAACACCGAGUGGCGAAGGCGGCUUUCUGGACUGUAACUGACGCUGAGGCACGAAAGCGUGGGG